GAAAUGCGAUAAGUAAUGUGAAUUGCAGAAUUCAGUGAAUCAUCGAAUCUUUGAACGCACAUUGCGCCCGCCAGUAUUCUGGCGGGCAUGCCUGUUCGAGCGUCAUUUCAACCAUCAAGCCCCCGGGCCUGUGUUGGGGACCUGCGGCUGCCCGCAGGCCCCGAAAACCAGUGGCGGGCUCGCUGUCACCCCGAGCGUAGUAGCAACACCUCGCCCAGGGAGUGCCGCGGGUUCCGGCCGUAAAACCUCGCCCUCGCGGCGAGAACACCCCCCCCCCAAGGUUGACCUCGGAUCAGGUAGGAAGACCCGCUGAACUUAAGC
rnacentral:misc_RNA from 1 species